rnacentral:rRNA from 1 species
UCAUGGCUCAGAACGAACGCUGGCGGCGCGUCUUAAGCAUGCAAGUCGAACGGCAAGAGGUAGCAAUACCUCCUAGAGUGGCGGACUGGUGAGUAACACGUGGGUGACAUACCCUUCAGAUGGGGAUAGCUAUUAGAAAUAGUAGAUAAUACCGAAUACGAGCACAGGGGUUAGAGAUCUGUGAGGAAAGGAGCUAAGGCUCCGCUGAAGGAAUGGCCUGCGGCCCAUUAGCUAGUUGGUGAGGUAAGAGCCCACCAAGGCGAUGAUGGGUAUCCGGCCUUAGAGGGUGAACGGACACAUUGGGACUGAGAUACGGCCCAGACUCCUACGGGAGGCAGCAGCUAAGAAUAUUCCGCAAUGGACGAAAGUCUGACGGAGCGACGCCGCCGUGGAUGAAGAAGGCCGGAAGGUUGUAAAAUCCUUUUGAAACCGAAGAAUAAGCGUUGUAGGGAAUGACAGCGUGGUGACAGUAGGUUUUGAAUAAGCAACGGCUAAUUACGUGCCAGCAGCGGC